CUGACAUGUCAGUGAUGCCUGUUUUCUGACCCCAAACUUUCCUAGGAGAUGGGAGGUUAGAAUGCUUCCAGAAUGGCCCAGGAUGCUGGAGAUUUGGGGUGUCUUUUAAAGAAUCCAAAACAAGCAAGCAAGCCAAGCUGAAGGCUGUUCUGCCCAUCCCAGUUGCUCUGUGUAGAUCUUAUGAAGAAAUCCAUUGACAAACUCCUGAAGAACUCUAAGAAAGGGAAGCUUGAGCAUCAGGGGUACGACUGUCACCACAACUUCAAAGCACAAGGUUCUGGUAUUGAGAUGUAGUCCAGGAAACCACAGGGAGUGAGUUGAAGUCCCAAACAUAGAAUGGAACACUGCCCUCCAGACAAGACACCAGUGUGAACUGCUAGGCUAUAUCUCCAGGAAAGUUGGUCAAGUAUCUUCUCUCACUGUGAAUUUACUGGAGUGGACAUUGAUAGGUUUUCUGUACCCCUAUAAUAGGUUUCUCUGCUGACACGGUAAGCCAGAUCAAGCCAAACUUUUAAUAAAGCACUCUCGAGUGAC